ensembl:lncRNA
GCAAGUUCUCUAAAUUCUCUCACAGCUGUCUCUUUUCCUGAUCUCAACUAAGAGAAAAAUGAGACAUACAAUGCAGCUUUCAAAUAUGUCUCAAUUUGAUCUCAAUUAUAUCUCAGUGAGAAAUAUGUCUCGUACUGCUCACUAUUUGAGUUCUCAGAUUCUCUUACAGUUGUCUCUUUCUAGUGUUUCAGCAAAAAGAAAAAAUAGAGUAGUGUUAGCUCUCAAAUUAGUCUCAAUAUGAGACAUUAUUUAAUAUUAUAGCUCAAUCAUAUCUCAAUUUAUCUCAGCGCAAAAUUUAAGAAAAGAAGUAUAUCAAUUCAGGCAAAUAAUUUGAGAUGGUUUACAUAAUGUUCAACUUACAAAAGGUGUUUAUUUCUGACAAGCCAUACAAUUCAUUAAUUAGAAUUUUGAGUUCUAAAACGUAACCCAUCAAAACAUAAGCCAUGAUUUGCUCAAAAGACACCUUUGUGAACUUUCUAAAUGUUGACAAUUGUGCUGUUUUAAAAGAAUUCACAGCAAAGCUCUAUUGUAUAGAGCAGUAAAAGAGUGUGUAACACGUUACUCCAAGAAUCCUACCUCAUGUGUGAUGAAAGAGUCCGUUAUGACUAUUACUAUUAACGUUGCACGCGCGGGAGACGUGGUAGCGCCAAGACCCGCCCUACGAAGCAGCUCAUUGCAUGGCUCACGAUUGAUUAGACUUUUCACCUCGAGUGGUUAAGGUUAGGAUAGCGGAUUGGUCAGGGGAUAGGACCUGAACAAAUAAAAAUGUUGUUAUCUAGAAUACAGGGCUUUUAAAAAGAAUGUAAUAGUAUAAAGGAAAUAUAAUCUGUGGGUAUACUCCAGUCCAGCGGUGGCGGUAAUACAACAACAAGUUAUCAACCGCCAGAUAAAAAUAGAAGAAGAAGAAGAAGAAGAAGAUUGGAGGGCGGGUCUUGGCGCCAAUUCGUAAUUUCGUUGGGGUGAGAGAAGUGCGUCGGUAACUGCUGCUGCACCUGUUGGCUUUUGCCCCUGCCACGAAGAGAAAAACAAAGUGCUGGCAAAAAAGAGGCUACGGGUUCCCACUCAGAAAAUUGAAGGACCUGAGCUCCCCUCCCCCAAAUGAGCAAUCUGAAAUUCAUUUCCAUCGGUGAAUCCAUCACCUGACGGGGGACAUGCAACAGGCCGCAACACAGCUGGACCACCACCCUAUGGAUGUGCAACUCUACCGGACUGGGAACCAAUUGAGGAGGCCAAGCUAUGUGGACCGCGAUCUCUCUCUCUUUUGUGUGUGUGUGUGUGUGUGUGUGUGUCACACAAAUGCAGUUUUCAAUAUUGAGUAUUGUUUUUAGUUGUUUCUAAUUAAUAAAGAUAAUUAAUCUUUAAAUUGC